UGUUUCCUUCCGUCCACCCACGAGACGCACUCUUCUAUUCCACUUGAAGGAAGUGGAUCUCGGUUAGCCUCUUCCAGAUCCCCCCAUCCUCCACUCUCCCCAUCCAUGGUCGCCGCCACUGCACGAAAAAGGCUGGCGGCCACCGCAACGUCGCCAUCCACGGCCAUCUGCCGCAGCAACCACGGCCAUCCACUCUCCCCAUCCAUGGUCGCCGCCACUGCACGAAAAAGGCUGGCGGCCACCGCAACGUCGCCAUCCACGGCCAUCUGCCGCCGCAACAAUAGUCUCAUCCCUUAGGCGGGGACGGCCCUGAAGGCGGACCUUUGUGCAGCGUCGCCUCUGCGGAUGGUGGCCAUCUUGUUGCAAGGGGAUAACAGGUCCCUCGUGUGUGUUCCAAAGCUGGAUGGGCCUGGCGCAAUGAGUACGGACGUGCUCGAGGUGGAGUUUCGCCGCAUCGGACGGGCGGGAUCUCAUCCUCUCUUUUUUUGAGGGAGAUCUCAUCCUCGAUGCAUUUUGUGGAGGCCAGGGGCUGCGUGCCUGCGAAGAUAUACUAACGGGCCCAUGCAUCUGGGCUGCUAUGCCAUACUAAGCCUGGUGCCAUCCAUUUGUCUCCACUGGUGACACUUCCGUCGCCUUGUCAUAUUCACCGACCUCGGCAGGCUGUGAGCCACAUGUACCACCAGGUAGUUUAUGUUCCAUGGAGUCUGCAUCAGUACAGAGAAGUUGACGUUCAGGAGCAUUGGUCUUGGUGAUAUGGUUGCGAAAAUGGUCUCUCCCUCUAAUGACUUUGGUGUGUACGGCCAGAUCUAUGGCCACAAAGGAACGGGGAUGAACCUGUUUGAUGUAUGACGAGCGCCACCAGUGCUUGAGGAGUUGGAGAGUAGCUUAGUGUUUCGUCCGAUGUUUGUAAUUUGUAAGUUUUUAGCGAUCUUUUUUAGCAUUCUAGAUAGACCACAGUUGCCGGCCAAAAUUCUACACAGUAGCAUCCGGUUGGAUUAGCUAUCGGGCGAGUGUUGUUCAGCCGAACAUCGUCCAUAAGUACUUUUGAUCUUUUUUUCUGUACAUGCGUAUUUCCCGGGGCUUUUAUGUAACAAUUACUCAUUUAAUAAAUAAAGAUACAUUUUUUUACAAAACA